rnacentral:lncRNA from 13 species
GGGGAACAUGUGUGAGAAUGAAUUUGAGACUAUUAGGCUUAAGAAGAAAGAAAUAAUUUUAGAAUGGACAGAUUUUAUUAAUAUGGUGCAAAAUAGCAAAAUCAGUGCCCUUUUAUGGUACAAUUUUUCAGCACUCUGGAGUCAGUGGCAUGUGACCGUCCUCUCUAAGCCAGGACAGCUGUAAGAUCUACAGCCAUUGAAAUGGGCUCUCUGAUUUCAAAGAGAAGGGAGGGUGUGUGACUGAGACGGGCAGCAGGACCGAGGGGUGAGCAGAACCAGCUGGGAGCUGAUGGCCCCUCAGAGCCAGGAGUGCACCAAGUGUCCAUGAAGGCAAUGGGGGCUCCGAGACCAGCCCCCAUGAAGGCAUCACAGCACAGGUGCCAGGUGACAGAGCAAAGCCACACUGUCAUCAGCAAGGAACCAUGCACUUGGCAGUUAGCUCCGAGGUUAAACAUAAACCACAGGGAUACCAAGCGACCAGGAUCACAAGCUAUGCAUCUUGAACUGAGCCUUGCAUGAGCCAGGGAGCCACAGGCUGGGUGUGCUUGGCAGCAGUUAGUCAUCAGGGAGGUGGCAUGUACACGGCUGGGCUUGAGAAGAUCCUGAAGGCACAGGGUCUAGCUCUGUCUCCCAGGCUGGCGUGCAGUGGUGCAAUCAUGGCUCACCUUGCAGCCUCGACCUUCCUGGCUCAAGUGAUCAUCCCCCCUCAGUCCCCCAGGAAGUCACAGGAGAUUUGGAAGCACCCGUGCCUCAUGGGGAAGAGAAUUCCAGGACGCAGGCCUGUUUUCCAGAGCGGAGACUGGGUGAGCUGGCCGAGCCCUUCCUGCAGCCUCUGCUAAGAGUUUUAUGUGCAUUAUCCCUUUAGCCCGCUGGCAACCUGUCAAAUGGGACAGUGGGGCAGAGGUGGCCUGAGUUCCCCACAAAUCGCCCCCCUUCCUCCUUAGCAAUAGGACCCCAAUUUUAUCUGGACACAUGGCUGCUGGAAUAAAGACCCCGUUCCUCAGAAUUCCUUGUUGCUA